AACAACAGACACCGGGGACUACCAGAGGUAGGAGGAAGGGAGGGCAGCAGGGGUAGAAAAACUGUCUAUUAGAUACUGUGCUCACUAUCUGGGCGAUGGGAUAAUUUGUCCCCCAAACCUCAGCAUCACCAACAUACCCAUGUAACAAACCUGAAUGUAUAUCUCUGAAUCUAAAACAAAAGCUAAAAUUAUGUAUUUUAAAAAAGAUGAUGAAGAGAGAAUAAUAUACUAUUGAAAAUCUAAUUACUAAUUGCAUUUUCCAUUUAGAAUUCACCAGAAAAAAACAAUUUAUUUGAGAACUUUGGAGAUUCUCCAACUUCAGAUAAUGAUAGAUAUACAUGAGAUUCUAAUGUAGGUAGGAUUUAUUUUAUUUUUUUAAUCUCCUGCUCCUUCUUUUUUGUCGUGUUAAUUCUCUCAUUAACUAUUCAUACACAUUUUGGUUGACUCUUUUCAACAUUUAUACAUUUAUUCAGCCUUCAAGGGACAUUUGGUAAGCACCUUAGUCCUAGGAGUCUAAGUAUGGCACUGAAGAUACAAACCAAUAAGGCGCAGGGUUUGUAAGCAUAUGAAAUAGCACAUGAGAGAGUUUUCACGCAGUUGAAUGAAGACAGAACUGCUGUAACAGGAGACUGAUGACGUAUUUAAUGAGAAGUCAGACCAUUUCCCAUUGUUUCUUGUUUGAACAUUGUAUUCUUCUUCUGUAUCACUCCAGUCAUUCUUCAGAAGACAAAGGAUCCUGUCUCUCAAUCCUGUCUGUCCCAAAUCACAGGAUGAAGCUGUCUGUCCUCUGAAGUCUGGAUCCUCCUUACGAGACUGUACUCAAGCUUGAGAGUCUAAUGGACAGGAUGUGACUCCAGAGUCCAGAGGUAUGGCCAGGUGUUGAUGUGGUGAAGCAAGCCAAGGCAGGCUGGCAUGGCACUGGUCGUGGGCCCCUCACCAGGGGUAGCUGAGGAAGUGAGUGUCCAUAUGAAAGACAUUGAGUUCACCUAUGUCCUUGAUGGUAUCAUGCUCUUGCUUUCAUCAUCUUCCUCACUGCUGCCAUCACAGUCUUCACAACCUCACUGUCAAUGUGUUGCCUAAGUUUCACUUUCUACAGUUUCAAUUAUCUGGGAUCAACCACAGCAACUUUCCCAAUAGUUUCUUCACAGGUGAGUGUGGUUUCCCCAGGACUGCUUCUGAGGCCUCAUUUACUCUUCCCAUGGGGCUCCAGUUUACCAGCUCCCAGAAGACCCU
rnacentral:lncRNA from 10 species